CCUACGGGAGGCAGCAGUGGGGAAUAUUGGGCAAUGGGCGCAAGCCUGACCCAGCAACGCCGCGUGAAGGAAGAAGGCUUUCGGGUUGUAAACCUCUUUUCUCAGGGACGAAGCAAGUGCCGGUACCUGAGGAAUAAGCCACGGCUAACUACGUGCCAGCAGCCGCGGUAAUACGGAGGUGGCAAGCGUUCUCCGGAUUUACUGGGUGUAAAGGGCGUGUAGGCGGGAAAGCAAGUCAGAUGUGAAAACCAUGGGCUCAACCUGUGGCGUGCAUUUGAAACUGUUUUGCUUGAGUACUGGAGAGGUAGGCGGAAUGCGCAGUGUAGCGGUGAAAUGCGUAGAUAUUAGGAGGAACACCAGUGGCGAAGGCGGUCUGCUGGACAGCAACUGACGCUGAGGCGCGAAAGCGUGGGGAGCAAACAGGAUUAGAUACCCCAGUAGUC
rnacentral:rRNA from 1 species